UACGUAGGUGGCAAGCGUUGUCCGGAUUUACUGGGCGUAAAGGGCGCGCAGGCGGUUUGUUAAGUGCAGGGUGAAAGCUCCCGGCUCAACUGGGAGAGGUCCUUGCAUACUGGCGAGCUCGAGGGAGGCAGAGGAAAGUGGAAUUCCCGGUGUAGUGGUGAUAUGCGUAGAUAUCGGGAGGAACACCUGUGGCGAAGGCGGCUUUCUGGGCCGUACCUGACGCUGAGACGCGAAAGCGUGGGGAGCGAACCGG
rnacentral:rRNA from 1 species